CCUACGGGAGGCUGCAGUGGGGAAUAUUGCACAAUGGGCGCAAGCCUGAUGCAGCCAUGCCGCGUGUGUGAAGAAGGCCUUCGGGUUGUAAAGCACUUUCAGCGGGGAGGAAGGCGGUGAGGUUAAUAACCUCAUCGAUUGACGUUACCCGCAGAAGAAGCACCGGCUAACUCCGUGCCAGCAGCCGCGGUAAUACGGAGGGUGCAAGCGUUAAUCGGAAUCACUGGGCGUAAAGCGCACGCAGGCGGUCUGUCAAGUCGGAUGUGAAAUCCCCGGGCUCAACCUGGGAACUGCAUUCGAAACUGGCAGGCUAGAGUCUUGUAGAGGGGGGUAGAAUUCCAGGUGUAGCGGUGAAAUGCGUAGAGAUCUGGAGGAAUACCGGUGGCGAAGGCGGCCCCCUGGACAAAGACUGACGCUCAGGUGCGAAAGCGUGGGGAGCAAACAGGAUUAGAUACCCGAGUAGUC
rnacentral:rRNA from 1 species